GGGGACAUAGCUCAGCUGGGAGAGCGUCUGCUUUGCAAGCAGAAGGUCAGGGGUUCGAAUCCCCUUGUCUCCACCA
rnacentral:tRNA from 2 species